rnacentral:lncRNA from 1 species
CAUGAACAUGCCUUUUCAAAUCUCUCUCUUUUCAUGAUCCAGAACCCUGAAUUUAAAUUUUGAAUCAGUUUCUUUGAGAUUUCAUUUUGUUACACUACAAGUACAAAUGGUUCGCCAAAAAAUUUGUGAAGCUAACUUCGGCAUCUACUGCUGGUUUUUUCAGGUGAUAGUAGUGUUAAGUUUGGUUUCUGUAGUUAUAUGGCGCUGUCUAAUCCCAAGAAAUCCAUCUUUUACCAUUGUAAACAUAUACUUUCCUUCUCUAAAUUCUGAGAAUUCUUCUGUUGGAAACUCUUCUCUAAUACUUUUCGAUUUCAAAAUCUCGAAUCCUAACAAAGGUAUUAGCAUAUACUAUGACGGGAUCUCCUUGAGUUUAUUUUUCAAAGAUGUCUUUGUUGGGACAAGUUCUACACCACCAUUUUAUCAAGGACACAAGAACGAUACUUCAUGGAAAAUAACUAUUAAAGCUGACUCAGCCGUGGUCCACCGAAAUUUUCAGCAAGGACUAAGAGGUUGAAGUAUAGAUUUUAAAGUGGAGGUGGAAACUGCAGUCAAGUUUAAGAUAUUCUGGCGGAAAACAAAGGAGCAUCAGAUAGGAUGUGAAGCAUAUUUUACCAGUAUGAAAACCAGUUUCAAUGAGAGUUUAUCAGUUGGGAAUGAUGUGAUGUGAAGCUGCACCAGAUAUUGAAGCCAACCAGGUUGUAGAGUGUGAAAUUGAGUUUCGCUAGUCAUCAAGUUGAGUAAAUACUGAAAUAGUCGUGAAAUCAAACUUUGAAAAUUGUCUUUGUUUUAUUUUCAUUUUUUCUAAUGUUAAUCAGGAACCGAAAAACAUGACGCUCAACUAUUCAGAAAUGAUAUUAUUAUUCACUGAGUGAAUACGAAUGUCGUAUAAUAGUAGUCUAGUAGAGUGCAAAUGUUUAAAAUAAAAAUUUUCAGACAACUGUAAAAAUUUUGUGUCACGGAUAUGACGAAAAAGGAAUAUGCU